UGCACAGCUAAGUUCAAAAUGUUCUCUAAACUAAUUAAAUCAGCAAGAAAAAAACUUACAAAUAAAAAAUCCCUGGCAGUUGUUAAAACAAUAAAGAAGUGUACGUGCAAACCCACGAUCUGCAAAUGUAAAAAGGGUCAUAAAAAAUUAUUACUCCUAAAUAAGGAAGCAAUUCACAUAAAUGGGAUUUUGGUGUAAUUGAAACUUUAGCCAGGCGGCUAAAAUGAAGCUAACGAUGCUUUUACUAAAAACACUAUCAUCUGUGUAUAAUAUUAAUAAUAUCUAAUAUAAUAAAUCUACGUACAUACUAUAUUAUUAUUAUUGCAUUACAAAUAAAUAAGAUUUCAUAUAAGUAAA